CAAUAGCGUAUAUUAAAGUUGUUGCAGUUAAAAGCUCGUAGUUGGAUUUCGGAGUGGGCCAGUUGGUCCGCCGCAAGGUGUGUUACUGACUGGUUUGCUCUUCUUCGCAAAGACUGCGUGUGCCCUUAAAUGAGUGUGCGUAGGAUUUACGACGUUUACUUUGAAAAAUUAGAGUGUUCAAAGCAGGCUAUUGCUUGAAUACAUGAGCAUGGAAUAAUGGAAUAGGACUUUGGUCCCAUUUUGUUGGUUUCUAGGGCCGAAGUAAUGAUUAAUAGGGAUAAUUGGGGCAUUCGUAUUAACGCGUCAGAGGUGGAAUUCUUGGAUUGCGUUACGACGAACUACUGCGAAAGCAUUUGCCAAGGAUGUUUUCAUUGAUCAAGAACGAAAGUUAGGGGAUCGAAGACGAUCAGAU
rnacentral:rRNA from 1 species